UAAAGCGUAAAAGAGCGUAGAGUGAAUGCCUUGGCAUUGGGAGCCGAUGAAGGACGUGGUUAACUGCGAAAAGCUACGGGGAGUCGUAAGCAGACAUUGAUCCGUAGAUGUCCGAAUGGAGCAAUCCGCAUGGAGUUAGUCCAUGCAUCCAUAAGUGAAUUCAUAGCUUAUGGAGGGGAACCGCCUGAACUGAAACAUCUAAGUAGGGCGAGGAAGAGAAAUCAAACGAGAUUUCGUAAGUAGUGGCGAGCGAACGCGAAAGAGGCUAAACCAAGAGAAGAAAUUCUUUUGGGGUUACGGACUGCGAUAUGUAUCUGAGGACUUAGCAGAAUGGUAUGGGAAAGCCAACCAGAGAAUGUGAUAGUCAUGUAUGCGAAAAAGAAUCAGAGCUAGCAGGAUCCAAAGUACCGCGGGACACGAGGAAUCCCGUGGGAAGUCGGGGGGACCACCCUCCAAGCCUAAAUACUACCCAAUGACCGAUAGCGAAAAGUACUGUGAAGGAACGGUGAAAAGAACCCCGGGAGGGGAGUGAAAAGAACCUGAAACUCUAUGCUUACAAGCACAUAGAGCACGUCAAAGUGUGAUAUGGUACCUUUUGUAGAAUGGUCCGGCGAGUUAUUGUAUGCAGCAAGGUUAAGGUCUUCAGGACUGAAGCCGAAGCGAGAGCGAGUCUGACAAGGGCGAAAAGUUGCAUGCAAUAGACCCGAAACCGGGUGACCUAGCCAUGUUCAGGUUGAAGUGGAGGUAAAGCUCCAUGGAGGACCGAACCGACCUCCGUUGAAAAGGCGGCGGAUGAAAUGUGGCUAGCGGAGAAAUUCCAAUCGAACCCGGAAAUAGCUGGUUCUCCCCGAAAUAGCUUUAGGGCUAGCGUUGUAUUAGAUUUCUGGGGGUAAAGCACUGAAUAGGCUAGGGGCCGAGAGGUUACUGAACCUUAUCAAACUAAGAAUACCAGAAAAUUGAUGUACAGCAGUCAGACUAUGUGAGAUAAGUCUCAUAGUCAAAAGGGAAACAGCCCAGACCCACAGCUAAGGUCCCAAAACAGAUUUAAGUGGAAAAGGAUGUGGGAUUGCCCAGACAACCAGGAUGUUGGCUUAGAAGCAGCCACACAUUAAAAGAGUGCGUAAUAGCUCACUGGUCGAGUGAUCCUGCGCCGAAAAUUCAACGGGGCUAAAAUUUGUACCGAAGCUUGGGCUUGAUACUUUGUAUCAGGGGUAGGGGAGCGUCAUGUACGAGGUGAAGUCGUAGCGGAAGCGGCGGUGGAUUGUACAUGAGAGAGAAUGCCGGAAUGAGUAGCGAGAAUUAUGUGAGAAUCAUAAUGGCCGAAAAUCUAAGGUUUCCUGAGGAAGGUUCGUCCGCUCAGGGUAAGCCGGGAGCUAAGGUGAGGCGGAAACGCGUAGCCGAUGCACAUACGGUAGAGAUUCCGUAGCCUCCGAAAAGUAAAGCACAGGGACGCUUCAGAAGUGUUACGCCGGGCGAUGGUUGCCCCGGUUGUAAAGGACACAAUUGAGUGGAAGGUAACAUGGAUGGAGACAAGAAAAGCUGUGUGUAUCUGGAAGGAGCCCGUACCGCAAACCGACACAGGUAGAUAGGAAGAAGAUUCUAAGGCCAGCGGGAGAAGGGUUGUUAAGGAACUCGGCAAGUUGACCCCGUAACUUCGGGAGAAGGGGUGCUUACGAAGGUAAGCCGCAGAGAAUAGGCCCAAGCGACUGUUUAGCAAAAACACAGCUCUAUGCUAAAUCGAAAGAUGACGUAUAUGGGGUGACACCUGCCCGGUGCUGGAAGGUUAAGAGGAGAUGUGAGAGCAUUGAAUUGAAGCCCCAGUAAACGGCGGCCGUAACUAUAACGGUCCUAAGGUAGCGAAAUUCCUUGUCAGGUAAGUUCUGACCC
rnacentral:rRNA from 1 species